rnacentral:lncRNA from 1 species
UGCCAGGCAGGUGCUGUGCCACUGAGCUAAAUCCCCAGCCCCUCAUUAUUUUUUUUAAUGCCACCUUGAGGAUGUCCUGAAGCCAGCCACACCCAGUUCCAUGGCGCCCGUCAUUGUCAGCAUCAAGGCCUCCUCCCUUGGACCCCCAGCUCCCCGAAACUCGGGGCCUCAGGUCCUGAAGUCUCCCUGGUGGACAGUUCGACUCCCCCACUGUAGAAACCCAGGAGCUGAGGCCGCCAGAGGAAGGGAGUUUGGAACCCAGGACCCAGGCCUCGUACUCCCCACUCGGCCCUGGAGACCUGCACGUGGGGGCCUAGGACCCCGCCCCGCCCAGAUUCCCCCGUGCCGGGAUGGGGGCUGUGCCCACCUCCCUAGAGCCAGCAGCGGGCUGGAAGAGAAAAAGCUUGAAAUUGAAUCCUCCGCGGCUUGGGGGUCAGGGAGCAGACCCCCACAUUUUCUCCACUGUCAAAACCCCCGUAGGAUUUUCUUGAAGUUCAGUUUCACAUCAUCUGGCUGAACAUUUGGAACUUUUUAAACGGAAAUUGUAGAAAAAAUGAGAAGCAUUUUCAUCUCGGAACACAAUACCUUCCUGGCGGGGAGCCCCGGGGAGAAGCCGCGGCCGCCUGGGUGGAGAAGAACCCAGGUCAUUGUCAAUCUGGAUUAAUCCGAGUUCUUCCGCCGAGCGAGCCGGUGCCGGGCAGAGCCGGCUAAUCAGGGUGUCUCUGCACCCGUCCGGCUCCUGCUCGCACUUCUGCCAGUCUGCCCGGCAGCCUCCCUCACUGUGAGCGCCUUGCAUCCACCCGACAGGACCGCACCCCAGGGAGCGUGGCAUCCGGGCACUGGGGACUCCAGCCUGGAGUUUGGCAUGGGCUCAGUGGACAGGGACACCAGAGGGCAGGGCGGGCAAGCAGCUGGUGUCACCUGGUUCCGAGGGCUGGUGCCACAGCCCUGGCCUCCGAAGAUGCGCAGUGGUGGUCUCCAGGGUCCCUCAGAGUUCUGCCAGGGAGACAGCUGGGCCCAUUUCACAGACUGAGGGACAGAGGCAGUGGGAGGAUCUCCCAGCCCACAGUAUCAGCCACAAGCCGGACAGCGGCCCUGGUCCAGGUGGAGGCAGUACAGGGGGCUCUUCCGACAUCCCCUCCCCGUCCAGGCGUUGGGACCUCCCCACACACCUGCAGCGGCGGCAGGCGGAGAUGGUGGUUUGAGGGGCAGCGACGGGGGUGACUGAAUUAACACGGAGCAGAGGACAGCUCGGGCUGUGUGGUUCAGGGC